AGGGGUAACUAGAAUAAUAGCAAUAUUAUUUUGGCUAGACCGGCGCACGGGCUGCGUAACACGUUAUGCAACCUACCUUAUACUGGGGAAUAACUUCGAGAAAUCGGCGCUAAUACCCCAUAACACUGUCGAAGAGGCAUCUCUUUGCAUUUAAAGCUCCGGCGGUAUAAGAUGGGCAUGCGUCCAAUUAGCUAGUUGGUGAGGUAACGGCUCACCAAGGCUACGAUUGGUAGGGGUUCUGAGAGGAUGAUCCCCCACACUGGUACUGAGACACGGACCAGACUUCUACGGGAGGCAGCAGUGAGGAAUAUUGCGCAAUGGACGAAAGUCUGACGCAGCCAUGCCGCGUGCAGGAUGACCGCCCUAUGGGUUGUAAACUGCUUUUGUAUGGGAAUAAACCCUUCUACGUGUAGAAGGCUGAAGGUACCAUAAGAAUAAGCACCGGCUAACUCCGUGCCAGCAGCCGCGGUAAUAC
rnacentral:rRNA from 1 species